GCCCCAUUUCCCCAUCUCACCUCAGCCCUACUUUCUGUCUCUAUAGAUUUGCCUAUUCUGGAUAUUUCCUAUAAAUGGAACCUGUAACAUAUGGCCCUUUGUGUCUGGCGUCUUUCGCUUAGUAUAAUGUUUUCGUGGCUAAGUAAUAUUCCAUUGAAUGGGCAUACCACAUUUUGUUUCUCCAUUCAUUAGUUGGUGGACAUUGGGUUGUUUCCACCAAAGAAGGGCAUAGACAUAUGUGGCUCACACAGCCUAAAUACUCCAUCUUUUCACAGACUUGAACACCCUGCAUAGCAAGACUGGAAGUCAGAAGUCCAGGUCAGGGAUUCCAACAGUCCUCAAGUGACAUCUGAUGGCGGCUUCAACUAGAGGGAAGGAUGCCAUAUUGAGUGGUAAAAUCAACCGGACUUGGUUGGAUGCUUCGGUGAAGGAGAGAACUAUUGAGGAAAAUUCAUUUACCAUAAGAGAAGCUGAACUUCAGACAGAUAGAGCGGGCAGUCCACAGUGAAGUCAUGGCUGAUGGCAAAGCUAAGCUAAGAAUCCAGCUCUCCUCUUGAGUACAACCCAUGGACUCGUGAGAUUUCGGGAAAGCAGACUAAGCUGGUGGCCGUGACCUCGCUAUACGACGCUUUCGCCAUAUGGCUAAUCAGCCAAAAACGUGUAUCCUGCGCUGGCACGUUGUCUCAACAAGAGCUGACAGUGUCUCCUGGAGCCUCCUGGAGUGUGACUGUCUCAUGUGUCCCUCCAAACACCUUUGCAGGCUUCUCUUGAUCCAGCCCCUUCUUCCUUCCAACUAAAGAGCUCCGGGAGCUCUCCGGAUACUCAGAAGGAACAACCUCAGCAGCUGGUCCACUCCCUGCCACAAGCGACGGUCCAAAUCGUGGCUACUCUGACCUUGAUCUUCAACCUCACUCCUAGGCUAGCGAUGCAGAAGAAAGCACGGGACUUGGAGAAAGACAAGCCCACGUUCAAAUUCUGCUCUCUUUCACCAGCUGACAGACUCAGGAAAGUCACCCACCCCCCGCGAUCAGAUUGGCAGGACUGCAAAUUGGGAUAACAGGACCGUCCUCACUGGUGGUUGGGAGAGUUACGAGGAAGGACUGGCUCCCCAUCUGUCUUCAACCGCCGUCCCCC
rnacentral:lncRNA from 1 species